rnacentral:lncRNA from 1 species
AUAUAUUCUUUAUUUUAUUUUAAUUCUACGUGGUAUUUAUUAUUAUUAUUUUAAUGUUUAUAGAAAUUAAAAGUUUUAAAAAAUUAAAAUUUUGUGGUAAAAAAUUGUUGAACCAUUGACCUUAAGAAUACAUAAGGGACGCCUACCACUAGAUCAAUUUACUUUUUAUGAUUUAUUUUUAACUCAAAAUGUAUACAUUAUAUAGUUAAAAUAUAAUUUCAAAAUUGAUUACUUAAAUUGUUUAAUUUUACUUUAAUGUAGAAUUAUUUCAUUAAAC